GCACGAUUAGCUCAGUUGGUAGAGCAGUAGACUCUUAAUCUAUUGGUCCGGGGUUCGAGUCCCCGAUCGUGUACCA
rnacentral:tRNA from 1 species